rnacentral:rRNA from 1 species
UACGUAGGUGACCAGCGUUGUCCGGAUUUACUGGGCGUAAAGAGCGCGCAGGCGGUCGUUCAAGUCGAGUGUGAAAGCCCCCGGCUCAACUGGGGAGGGUCACUCGAUACUGAUCGACUUGAAGGCAGGAGAGGGAAGCGGAAUUCCCGGUGUAGUGGUGAAAUGCGUAGAUAUCGGGAGGAACACCAGUGGCGAAGGCGGCUUCCUGGCCUGUUCUUGACGCUGAGGCGCGAAAGCUAGGGGAGCAAACGGGGA